rnacentral:sRNA from 1 species
AUCGGUCGGUCGGAAUAACCGGCGAUCGGAGCGGCCGGGUGUCUCGCCACGGUGGGGCACUUCGCGGAU